rnacentral:rRNA from 1 species
AGUGAACGCUGGCGGUAGGCCUAACACAUGCAAGUCGAACGGCAACACAGUAAGAGCUUGCUCUUACGGGUGGCGAGUGGCGGACGGGUGAGGAAUACAUCGGAAUCUACUUUUUCGUGGGGGAUAACGUAGGGAAACUUACGCUAAUACCGCAUAUGACCUACGGGUGAAAGCAGGGGAUCUUCGGACCUUGCGCGAUUGAAUGAGCCGAUGUCGGAUUAGCUAGUUGGCGGGGUAAAGGCCCACCAAGGCGACGAUCCGUAGCUGGUCUGAGAGGAUGAUCGGCCACACUGGAACUGAGACACGGUCCAGACUCCUACGGGAGGCAGCAGUAGGGAAUAUUGGGCAAUGGGCGCAAGCCUGAUCCAGCCAUACCGCGUGGGUGAAGAAGGCCUUCGGGUUGUAAAGCCCUUUUGUUGGGAAAGAAAAGCAGCAGGUUAAUACCCCGCUGUUCUGACGGUACCCAAAGAAUAAGCACCGGCUAACUUCGUG